rnacentral:rRNA from 1 species
AAUAGAUACCCGGGUAGUCCAUGCCGUAAACGUUGGGCGCUAGAUGUGGGGACCAUUCCACGGUUUCCGUGUCGCAGCUAACGCAUUAAGCGCCCCGCCUGGGGAGUACGGCCGCAAGGCUAAAACUCAAAGGAAUUGACGGGGGCCCGCACAAGCGGCGGAGCAUGCGGAUUAAUUCGAUGCAACGCGAAGAACCUUACCAAGGCUUGACAUAUACGAGAACGCUCUAGAAAUAGAGAACUCUUUGGACACUCGUAUACAGGUGGUGCAUGGUUGUCGUCAGCUCGUGUCGUGAGAUGUUGGGUUAAGUCCCGCAACGAGCGCAACCCUCGUUCUAUGUUGCCAGCGGUUCGGCCGGGAACUCGAUAGGAGACUGCCGGGGUCAACUCGGAGGAAGGUGGGGAUGACGUCAAAUCAUCAUGCCCCUUAUGUCUUGGGCUUCACGCAUGCUACAAUGGCCGGUACAAAGGGCUGCAAUACCGUAAGGUGGAGCGAAUCCCAAAAGCCGGUCUCAGUUCGAAUUGAGGU